UACGGAGGGAGCUAGCGUUGUUCGGAAUUACUGGGCGUAAAGCGCACGUAGGCGGCUUUGUAAGUUAGAGGUGAAAGCCCGGGGCUCAACUCCGGAACUGCCUUUAAGACUGCAUCGCUUGAAUCCAGGAGAGGUGAGUGGAAUUCCGAGUGUAGAGGUGAAAUUCGUAGAUAUUCGGAAGAACACCAGUGGCGAAGGGCGGCUCACUGGACUGGUAUUGACG
rnacentral:rRNA from 1 species